CACGUCUAGCUCAAAGGGAGAUACCAACAGAGCGAGGCCCGCCGAAAACAGUCGUACACCCUACCUAAUCUAAGUGAUAUGACAGUCCCCGGUCAUUAAAACGACCAAACAAUAAUCGAACCCUGUAACAGUGUUUGCAAAAUUUCUGUUAAUCCGUCAGGGUCACCAUGCAGGCAAACGUGAUCAAGUGGGACAGGUCCAG